UGGGGAAUUUUGGAAAAUGGGGGAAACCCUGAUCCAGCCAUCCCGCGUGUGCGAUGAAGGCCUUCGGGUUGUAAAGCACUUUUGGCAGGAAAGAAACGUCAUGGGUUAAUACCCCGUGAAACUGACGGUACCUGCAGAAUAAGCACCGGCUAACUACGUGCCAGCAGCCGCGGUAAUACGUAGGGUGCAAGCGUUAAUCGGAAUUACUGGGCGUAAAGCGUGCGCAGGCGGUUCGGAAAGAAAGAUGUGAAAUCCCAGAGCUCAACUUUGGAACUGCAUUUUUAACUACCGGGCUAGAGUGUGUCGGAGGUAGGUGGAAUUCCGCGUGUAGCAGUGAAAUGCGUAGAUAUGCGGGGGAACACCGAUGGCAAAGGCAGCCUCCUGGGAUAACACUGACGCUCAUGCACGAAAGCGUGGGGAGCAAACAGG
rnacentral:rRNA from 1 species